UACAGAGGUCUCAAGCGUUGUUCGGAUUCAUUGGGCGUAAAGGGUGCGUAGGCGGCGCGGUAAGUCGGGUGUGAAAUCUCGGAGCUUAACUCCGAAACUGCAUUCGAUACUGCCGUGCUUGAGGACUGGAGAAGAGACUGGAAUUUACGGUGUAGCGGUGAAAUGCGUAGAUAUCGUAAGGAAGACCAGUGGCGAAGGCGGGUCUCUGGACAGUUCCUGACGCUGAGGCACGAAGGUCAGGGGAGCAAACGGG
rnacentral:rRNA from 1 species